CCAGGCGUCGAGCGGCGAACGGGUGAGUAACGCGUAGGAAUCUGCCUGAUAGAGGGGGAUAGCCCGGGGAAACUCGGAUUAAUACCGCAUACGCCCUACGGGGGAAAGCAGGGGAUCUUCGGACCUUGCGCUAUCAGAUGAGCCUGCGUCGGAUUAGCUAGUUGGUAGGGUAAAGGCCUACCAAGGCGACGAUCCGUAACUGGUCUGAGAGGAUGAUCAGUCACACUGGAACUGAGACACGGUCCAGACUCCUACGGGAGGCAGCAGUGGGGAAUAUUGGACAAUGGGGGCAACCCUGAUCCAGCCAUGCCGCGUGUGUGAAGAAGGCCUUCGGGUUGUAAAGCACUUUAAGCAGGGAGGAAAGGGUGAUGGCUAAUACCCAUCAUCAUUGACGUUACCUGCAGAAUAAGCACCGGCUAACUUCGUGCCAGCAGCCGCGGUAAUACGAAGGGUGCAAGCGUUAAUCGGAAUUACUGGGCGUAAAGCGCGCGUAGGCGGUUUGAUAAGUUGGAUGUGAAAGCCCCGGGCUCAACCUGGGA
rnacentral:rRNA from 1 species